GCUCCGGUAGCCUAGUGGUUAGAGCGUCUGCCUCAGAUGCAGAGGGUCGGGAGUUCGAACCCCAAACGAAUCA